UCCCCGGGACCGCACGUUCACCCCCGCAGUGCUCUUAACUGAGUGUCUGCGGUAGCGGGUGACCGAACGUUUACCUUGACAAAACCGGAGUGCUCGAGGCGUGGGCGUUCGCCGCCCGUACGUCCUCGCUGGGAAUAAUGGAAGAGGACCGUUGGUCAAAAAAGGUUUUUUGUCAGAGAGGUGGGAGAGCAAAAAAGAGGUUGUGCUGGUGGGGGGUUACAAAGGGGGGUGACUCCCUUUCCCCCUCUGGUCUUCCUCUUUCUCCUCCUCGAAACCUUCCUCCCCGCGUACAGCACUGUGGAUCGGCUGGCGCUUUAUGGCGGAAAGGGUGGAUCUAGAAAGAAGGGUGAAAGCAGGUGGCUGUUUGCCAGAUGGUGAAAACCGGAUGGCCGGUCGUUUGUGGAAGCCUGGAAUCUUUUUCCCCCUUGCUGUCGUGGUGCUUCCGUACCCUCGGUGUCAGCGGGAGGAGGUCGAAAAUCAAAAUAAAAAAACGUGUCAUGAUUAAGAGGGACGGCCGGGGGCAUUCGUACCGCGGCGCGAGAGGUGAAAUUCUAGGACCGUCGCGAGACGAACGAUAGCGAAAGCAUUUGCCAAGAAUGUUUUCCUUAAUCAAGAACGAAAGUCGGAGGUUCGAAGGCGAUCAGAUACCGCCCUAGUUCCGACCUUAAACCAUGCCGUCCGACCGCCCGCCAGGGUUACUACCGCGACUCGGCGGGCGGUGACUUUCCACCGGGAAACCCUUAAGCUUUCGGGUUCCGGGGGAAGUACGGUCGCAAAGCUGAAACUUAAAGGAAUUGACGGAAGGGCACCACCAGGAGUGGAGCCUGCGGCUUAAUUUGACUCAACACGGGGAACCUCACCCGGCCCGGACACCGCGAGGAUUGACAGAUCGAUAGCUCUUUCUCGAUCCGGUGGGUGGUGGUGCAUGGCCGUUCUUAGUUGGUGGAGCGAUCUGUCUGGUUAAUUCCGAUAACGAACGAGACUCUAGCCGGUUAAGUAGCCCGAGUGGCGUGUUGUUGAUUAAAAAACCGCCCUAGCGGCUUUCGGGGCACUUCUUGGAAGUUGUCUGGCUUUAACGGUGGUGGGACAGGGAGGUGGAAGACGACGGUCGGUGCCGCGUGUGUCGUGGCUCGGAUCUAG
rnacentral:rRNA from 1 species